AGACGGAGGGUGCAAGCGUUGCUCGGAAUUACUGGGCGUAAAGGGUGCGUAGGCGGCCUUUCAAGUCCGGCGUGAAAGCCCAGGGCUCAGCCUUGGAAGUGCGCCAGAAACUGGAUGGCUAGAGUAUCGGAUGGGAGAGUGGAAUUCCUGGUGUAGCGGUGAAAUGCGUAGAUAUCAGGAGGAAUACCGGUGGCGAAGGCGACUCUCUGGACGAUAACUGACGCUGAGGCACGAAAGCGUGGGGAGCAAACAGGAUUAGAAACCCGAGUAGUCC
rnacentral:rRNA from 1 species